AGAGAGGUUAACCUGGCUGAUAAGCAAAACCAAAAACACAGUAGCAGUGUCGCUGGUGACACUCUACACAAACUUCCAGGGUCCCUUAUAUUUUCAAUAAUGUUGCCCCUAGGGCAGCACGCUGGCCUCACACCUCCAUGGUCAGGGGAUUCGGUCUCAUCGCUACUCUGUGUUUGUGGAGUUUGCGCGUCUAAAUGGUCAUCCAGUUUCUUCCCAUAGGCCAAAGAGACAGGCACUGAGGUCGAAUGGAGGAACUUGGAUUAGCUGAGACAUUGUAAGACCCUGUGCUGUGACCCCCAAGCUAUGAAGAGCAAGAUGCUGUUGGUGAACAGAAGCACUCCAAUGUACCUGUACUUGCUCGCAAAUGACAAAUAAAGCUUGUUUGUUUGUUGUUUAAAGUUGAAACAUACUUGUGGAAUGUUUAAUGAACGAUAUGAACCUAUA